GCUCCGAUAGCUCAGUGGUAGAGCGCCUCCUUGGUAAGGAGGAGGUCCCGGGUUCAAAUCCCGGUCGGAGCU
rnacentral:tRNA from 1 species